rnacentral:rRNA from 1 species
AUUGAACGCUGGCGGCAGGCCUAACACAUGCAAGUCGAGCGGAUGAAGGGGGCUUGCUCCUGGAUUCAGCGGCGGACGGGUGAGUAAUGCCUAGGAAUCUGCCUGGUAGUGGGGGAUAACGUCCGGAAACGGGCGCUAAUACCGCAUACGUCCUGAGGGAGAAAGUGGGGGAUCUUCGGACCUCACGCUAUCAGAUGAGCCUAGGUCGGAUUAGCUAGUUGGUGGGGUAAAGGCCUACCAAGGCGACGAUCCGUAACUGGUCUGAGAGGAUGAUCAGUCACACUGGAACUGAGACACGGUCCAGACUCCUACGGGAGGCAGCAGUGGGGAAUAUUGGACAAUGGGCGAAAGCCUGAUCAGCCAUGCCGCGUGUGUGAAGAAGGUCUUCGGAUUGUAAAGCACUUUAAGUUGGGAGGAAGGGCAGUAAGUUAAUACCUUGCUGUUUUGACGUUACCAACAGAAUAAGCACCGGCUAACUUCGUGCCAGCAGCCGCGGUAAUACGAAGGGUGCAAGCGUUAAUCGGAAUUACUGGGCGUAAAGCGCGCGUAGGUGGUUCAGCAAGUUGGAUGUGAAAUCCCCGGGCUCAACCUGGGAACUGCAUCCAAAACUACUGAGCUAGAGUACGGUAGAGGGUGGUGGAAUUUCCUGUGUAGCGGUGAAAUGCGUAGAUAUAGGAAGGAACACCAGUGGCGAAGGCGACCACCUGGACUGAUACUGACACUGAGGUGCGAAAGCGUGGGGAGCAAACAGGAUUAGAUACCCUGGUAGUCCACGCCGUAAACGAUGUCGACUAGCCGUUGGGAUCCUUGAGAUCUUAGUGGCGCAGCUAACGCGAUAAGUCGACCGCCUGGGGAGUACGGCCGCAAGGUA